UGUUGACGUUACCAAACUGUUGCCUCGGCGGGGUCACGCCCCGGGUGCGUCGCAGCCCCGGAACCAGGCGCCCGCCGGAGGAACCAACCAAACUCUUUCUGUAGUCCCCUCGCGGACGUAUUUCUUACAGCUCUGAGCAAAAAUUCAAAAUGAAUCAAAACUUUCAACAACGGAUCUCUUGGUUCUGGCAUCGAUGAAGAACGCAGCGAAAUGCGAUAAGUAAUGUGAAUUGCAGAAUUCAGUGAAUCAUCGAAUCUUUGAACGCACAUUGCGCCCGCCAGUAUUCUGGCGGGCAUGCCUGUCCGAGCGUCAUUUCAACCCUCGAACCCCUCCGGGGGAUCGGCGUUGGGGAUCGGGACCCCUCACACGGGUGCCGGCCCCGAAAUACAGUGGCGGUCUCGCCGCAGCCUCUCCUGCGCAGUAGUUUGCACAACUCGCACCGGGAGCGCGGCGCGUCCACGUCCGUAAAACACCCAACUUUCUGAAAUGUUGACCUCGGAUCAGGUAGGAAUACCCGCUGAACUUAAGCAUAUCAAA
rnacentral:rRNA from 1 species